rnacentral:rRNA from 1 species
UACGAAGGGGGCUAGCGUUGCUCGGAAUCACUGGGCGUAAGCGCACGUAGGCGGAUCUUUAAGUCAGGGGUGAAAUCCUGGAGCUCAACUCCAGAACUGCCUUUUGAUACUGGGGAUCUCGAGUCCGGAAGAGGUGAGUGGAACUCCGAGUGUAGAGGUGAAAUUCGUAGAUAUUCGGAAGAACACCAGUGGCGAAGGCGGCUCACUGGUCCGGUACUGACGCUGAGGUGCGAAAGCGUGGGGAG